rnacentral:rRNA from 1 species
GACGAACGCUGGCGGCGUGCUUAACACAUGCAAGUCGAACGGUAAGGCCCUUCGGGGUACACGAGUGGCGAACGGGUGAGUAACACGUGGGUGAUCUGCCCUGCACUUCGGGAUAAGCCUGGGAAACUGGGCCUAAUACCGGAUAGGACUCCGGACUGCAUGGUCUGGGGUGGAAAGCUGUUGCGGUGUGGGAUGGGCCCGCGGCCUAUCAGCUUGUUGGUGGGGUGAUGGCCUACCAAGGCGACGACGGGUGGCCGGCCUGAGAGGGUGACCGGCCACACUGGGACUGAGAUACGGCCCAGACUCCUACGGGAGGCAGCAGUGGGGAAUAUUGCACAAUGGGCGCAAGCCUGAUGCAGCGACGCCGCGUGAGGGAUGACGGCCUUCGGGUUGUAAACCUCUUUCAGCACAGACGAAGCGCAAGUGACGGUAUGUGCAGAAGAAGGACCGGCCAACUACGUGCCAGCCGCCGCAGUAA